GAUUAUUAAUCGAUAGUCCACGUUAAUUUUUACUUGAUUUUUAAAUUUAUAUAUCGUCGUUUUCUAAAAAUUUUAGGAUUAAAUUUUUUCAGAUCAAGGUGUAGUUUAUAGUUAAGUUUAAAUGGAUUACUUUAAAAAUUUUUGAUAAAUUGGAUUUGAAAGUAAGCUCUAAUAUAUGUACAUAUCGCCCGUCGCUUUCGCUUUAAGGUGAAAUAAGUCGUAACAAAGUAGACUUAACGGAAGUUGAGUCUAGAAUACAAAUUAGAGCUUGUUAAGCGUUUUAUUUACACUAAAAAGUUAAUUGUAUAUUCAAUUUAAUUUGAUUUGAAUUUUUUAUUUAUUUUUAAUGUGGAAAGUAUUUUUAAGUUUUUAGAAAUUUAAUUAUAGUUUAUUGUACUGAGAGGGAUUAUUAGGUAUAUAUUUAAAGUAGUUUUUGUUUUAUGUACCUUGUGUAUCAGGGUUGAUUAAUUCAUUUUUCUCGAAGCUUAAGGGGCUAUUUUUUAUGUGGCAUAAUAAUUUAUAAUUAAUUAAUAGUAAUGAAACGUUAAUCGUCUUUUGCUAUAUCUAGUUUUUUAAGAAAUUAAUUUAAUUAAUUUUUUUUAAAUAUUUAUUUAAGGGACUAUCUUUUUGGUAGAUUUUUAUAAUUAAUGAUUUAUUAAUAAUGUGUAGGAUUAGAAUUUUUUAUCUUUUGGAGGAUGUUUUAAUUUAUUGUUUUAAGUUUUUUAUUAAAGUUGAUUAUUUAAUAAUAUUUUAAUUGAAAUAAUGAUUUAAUUAGUAAAAUUAGUUUAAGGAAUUCGGCAAAUUAAUUUUCACCUGUUUAUUAAAAACAUGGCCUUUUGAGAAUUAUUUAAGGUCUAGCCUGCCCAAUGAUUGAAUGGCCGCAGUAUUUUGACUGUGCAAAGGUAGCAUAAUCAUUAGUUUUUUAAUUGGAAGCUGGUAUGAAUGGUUUUAUGAGAAAUUAACUGUCUCUAGAAUUUAAAUUUUGAGUGAGAAUGCUUAAAUGAAUUAGUGGGACGAUAAGACCCUAUAGAGUUU
rnacentral:rRNA from 1 species